UGUUGAAGUUUGGACAAAAUGGUUCCUGUUCACGUUCUUGGUUUCAAACCAAGACCAGAUUGAAGCUAAAGACACGAAGUGAAAUGAAGUCAAAGACACAAAGUGAAGCUUGUUUUGAAAUGAAAUUUGCUUCUGCUUCAACACUUCUUUUGAGCUAAGGUUAAUACUUUAACCACAUGAUCCAUGUUCUGAUCCUAAAUGAAAUAACAUUCCUACUAAAGUUACAUUGUACCUUAGGUGACCACAUGGAUUUAAUGACUUAUGAGUCCUGUUUAGCCAUUGUGGCUUUAUGCCACGUGAGAGGGUGGGUGAAGAUUAUUAAUCUUUACCCACUUAUUAGUUAACUGGGUAAUGUCCCAUUACCCGGUAAUUAUUCAAUUACCCGCAUAAUUUAAAAAUUACCACAAAUUACUUAAAAUUCUAUUUAUUUUUAAAAUACUUCAUAUAUACUUUAUAUAUUAUACUGCCGUGGUCAUAUGGUACCUUGCAUGGUACUAGUUUAUAAUUAUCGGGUAUUAUCACUCGACCCGUAUUUUACUCCAAAUUGGCCACUUUCAACGAAACUCGUUUUCUUUAAUCUGUGUACCCCUUUAUCCUUCAUAACACUUAUUUAUUGCUUGUAAUAAGUGGCGUAAGUACGUUAACGUCACGAUGAUAUCAUCCCCGAGUCUAAGUCAGUUAACUAAAAAUGAAAUUUUAACGUACGAAAACGUGAGAUGUAAUAUCUUUCCUCUUUAGAAACAUUCGUCCUCGAAUGUUUAACUCUCCAGGAUUUAUAUAACCUUGGUAGAGUCGCCUUUGUAACAAUGCUACUACCAACUCCUCUUAUAGAAACCCAGUAAUUUAACGCCACAUAGGACCACAAUCAUUAAUAACAACGAUGGCCUCACACGACCAAUAACAUUAGCUAGCACAAGAAUUCGUACACGCACCUUGAGGUUAUGACGUCUCAGUCGAACCCUUUUUUGGAGGAGCAAAUAAGUAGGGAUAUCUAGACUUCAUGUCUUGCUCGGCCUCCCAAGUCAUUUCUUCCACAUUGUUGUUCCUCCAAUGUACUUUCACAAAGGUUACCUCCUUAUUCCGUAGCUUACAGAUUUGUCGAUCUAGAAUGGCAACCGGAAUUUCCUCGUAUGACAAGUCCUCUGUAAUCUGUACAUCAUUCGUGGGCACCACUCAGGUAGGAUCGCCAAUGCACUUACGUCACAUAGAUAUGUGAAAAACCAGAUGAAUAGACUCCAAUUUCGAGAGAAAUACUAACUCAUAAGCUACUUGGUGCACUCUCCGAAUGAUCCUAUAAGGCCCAAUAUACUGUGGGCUAAGCUUUCCUUAGGUGACACCUUUAAGAAUACACCGUCAUUAACCCCAAACUCUAAAUCCCGACGCUGCACAUCAGAAUAUGACUUCUAACGACUCUGAGUUGUCAAUAGUCAAUCCCAAAUCAAAUUUACCUUUUCUAUGACUUGCUGAACUAGGUCUGGCCCAUGUAAUCCAGAUUCUCCAACAUCAAACCACCCUAGAGGCGACCUACACUUCCGUCCGUAUAAAGCUUCGUAUGAAGCCAUCUGAAUACUGGAAUGGUAGCUAUUAUUAUAUGCGAACUCAACAAGCAGCAGAUGAUCAUCCCAGUUACCUUUGAAGUCCAUUACACAAGCUCGUAACGUAUCCUCCAGUGACUGAAUAGUAUGCUCAGCCUAUCCGUUUGUCUAGGGAUGAAAUGUUGUAUUAAGACUUACUUAAGUCCUCAAUCCUUUUUGGAAUGACCUCCAAAAGUUAGCUGUAAAUUGAGCUCCUCUAUCUGAGAUAAUAGAUACAGGGACACCAUGCAGUCGUACUAUCUCAUUGAUAUAAAGCCUUGCAUAAUCCUCUGGGAAUAUGUAGUUCUAACGGGAAAAAAAUGGGCUGACUUUGUAAGCCUAUCAACAAUCACCCAUAACGAAUCGAACUUGCGCUAGGUAUGAGGUAAGCCUACGAUGAAGUCCAUAUUGAUUACUUCCCAUUUCCAAGUCGAAAUCCCCACAGCUUGCAAUAACCCACCGGGUUUCUGAUGCUCAAUUUUAACUUGCUGAUAGUUAGGACACUGAGCAACAAACUUUGCUAUAUCCUUUUUCAUUUCGUCCCACCAAUACACUUCCCUGAUAUCAUGAUACAUCUUUGUUGCUCCUAGAUGGAUAGAUGAAUGAGAAUAGUGAGUUUCUCCCAUAACUUGUCGGCGCAGCCCUAAAACAUUAGGCACACUUAAUCGUCCUCGAUAUCUGAGGACCCCAUCUUCUGUAAUUUCAAACGGUGUCUUCUCCUUCUGAAGCGUGGUAUCCCUUUAAUGAACUAACACAGAAUCCUCGUACUGGAAUUCCUUUACUUUAGUUACUAAAGAGGAUGUUGUCGUAUCCUGAAGAGUAUUUCCAAUGACACCUGAGUCCAGUAACUGAACUCCAAGACUAGCUAGCUGAUGAACCUUAUGGGCUAUUCCCCUUUUUUGGCUGUAAAUAUGACAGGCUACCCAUAGAUCUACGGCUAAGGGCGUCGGCUACUACGUUCACUUUCCCCGGAUGGAAUAAAAUAUCAAUGUCAUAAUCUUUAAGUAGCUACAACCAUCUCCUUUGACGUAAAUUCAAUUCUUUUCUUCUUUUUUUUGAAGAUAUACUGGAGGCUUUUAUGAUCCGCAUAGAUACUAACAUGAAUGCCAUAAAAGUAGUGCCUCCACGUCUUUAGUGUAUGAAUCACCAAGGCUAAAUCUAAAUCGUAGGUCGGGUAGUUCUUCUCGUGCUUACUUAGUUGUCCAGAAGCAUAAGAUACAACCUUACUAAGCUGCAUCAGCACACGGUCUAAUCCCACGCUUGAAGCGUCACAAUAGAUAACAUAACCAUCGGUCCUUUCUGGGAGCGGUAGAACUGGUGCUGAAGUUAAUCUAUCCUUCAAUGCCUGGAAACUCCGUUCGCAAGGAUUGGUCCAUUGAAACUUAGUUCCCUUCUGAGUUAACUUACAUGGGUAUCCUAUUUUUUUUUACAAUUCAGGAAAUUCCCCUUUUCGGAGGCCAAAACUUCAUCCCUUAUCCAUCACAAUUACGCCCUUAUCCCACUAUUAGGGUAGUAUUUCAUCUAUUCUAAAUGUUACUAGUCUUAGACUCCUUUAAAUUCUUUCAGGCUAUACUGAGCCUUCUGUAACUUAGAGAAAUCAUCAGCUUUCUUAUGAACUUAUUCCCAAAUGACUUAUCCAUUCUCGUUACCUUUUUCACUCAUCUUUUCUUAUCUUUCCUCUUGUCUUCCUAAAACCUUGUCGCUUUAUCAUACUUUAGCUUGUGACCUACACAUAUCUAUUUAUACUUAUUCUCAACCUUUCUUCAACCUGCUUGCACCAUAGAUUUCCUUAUGUUAUUCUAGAACAUCAAGGAAGACACCACAUACCACUUUGGUCAAAUGUGCUUAGACGAGAAGAAAAUUUCGUUACAAGAGUCUUGUAAUAACCUGCCAAAUGGAGAAUCUACAAACCUUCAUCGGUGUUGUGGGUCUAGGCAAAGUCUUCACUACCUCAGUCUCUUGUGUAUCCACUCGGAUGUCUUUACUCGAAAUAAUAUGCCUAAGGAAAGCUACAGAGUUCAACCAGAAUUCAUAUUUAGAAAAUUUUGCAUACAACUUUCCUUCUUGUAGAACUCUAAGAACAGUACGUAGAUGAUCUGUAUGCUCAUCCUCUGAACGAGAAUAUACCAAUAUAUCCUCGAUAAAUACAAUUACGAACAGAUCUAAGAAAGGCCUGAACACACGGUUCAUCAAAUGCAUGAAUACUGCUGGGGCAUUGGUCAGACCGAACGACAUAAUCCGAAACUCAAAGUGCCCAUAUCUAGUUCUGAAUGUUGUCUUCGGAAUAUCUUUAUCCUUAACCCUUACCUGAUGGUACCCGAAUCUCAGGUCUAUCUUUGAAAAACACUUGGCACCUUAUAACAGAUCAAAUAGAUCAUCAAUUCUCGGGAGCGAGUAUUUAUUCUUGAUUAUCACCUUAUUCAGUUGCCUAUAAUCAAUACACAUUCAUAAGGAACCAUCUUUAUUUCUCACAAACAACACAGGUGCUCCCCAUGGUGACGUACUAGGUCUUAUAAAACCUUUUUCAAACAAGUCCCUUAGUUGUUCCUUUAACUCUUUCAGCUCUGUGGGGGCCAUUCUAUAGGGGGAAUAGAUAUUGGAUGAGUACCUGGUAGUAGGUCAAUGACAAACUCAAUUUCUUGCUCUGGCGGAAGACCUGGAAGUUCAUUGGGAAAAACAUCGGGAAACUCAUUAACCACUGGGAUGGACUAAAUGGUUGGUGACCCUACUUCCAUAUCUAGAACCCGAACUAAGUGAUAAAUUCAGCCCUUAUUGAUCAUCUUCCUUGCCUUGAGAUAGGAGAUAAAUUUACCUCUGGGUGAUGUCGUAUUACCUUCCCAUUCUAAAACCGGCUCUCCUGGGGACUGAAAUUAAACCAUCCUUGACCUACACUUGAUGUUAGCAUAACAAAAAGCCAACCAAUCCCUACCUAUUAUAAUAUUAAGUUCUACCCAACCGAACACCACAUACCUUAUCCUUGUUUAUUAUCAAAUCUAUCACAGGCCAUUAUGGCGACAUCCAUAUAUAUAAGUAACAAUAUUAAGACUUAACUCGCAUAACUAAUUUAGAAAAAGUUUUAUAUACAUAGGGGUCGACUAGGCCGUAGACAUAUCAUACCCAAAACUAUAUACAAGAUAUUGUCUGUAAAACCUCUAAGUAGGAAUAACCAUAAUAUAUAUACAAGCCGGGACGGGGCUCCCUACAUCCUCAUAAAACAACCAAACACAUUUAGAACCCUAACUUGGUAAUAUUNNNNNNNNNNNNNNNNNNNNNNNNNNNNNNNNNNNNNNNNNNNNNNNNNNNNNNNNNNNNNNNNNNNNNNNNNNNNNNNNNNNNNNNNNNNNNNNNNNNNNNNNNNNNNNNNNNNNUAUCCAGUUACCUUCCUCCUCUUGGCCCGACUACUAUUUUCUUCUUCUGCGUAUCCCAUAACAUACCACGGCGAACCUUGAUUGAUGGACUCCCAAGACUGUGGACUAUCCGGAACCUCAGAAGAGCUGGUGUCCUCAAAUACCUUGACAUAGUUUUGAGCCUGAGAGAAUUUCGGUUGUGCCAAUCCAUACACUACUCCCCUCAUACCCUGAUCAACAGGCUGUAAAUCUAAGGGCCUUGGUGAGGUUGGAACUCCUCUCACCCUAUCUACUACCGAAGUGGUCGAAAAAACUCGAAUGGAUGACUCAUAUGGAUCCUCGGAUGGAUCCUCCUCAACAGAACCCAUGAUCUCCGAUGGGUCUGAAUCCAUGGUAUAACUUAUCUCUCUUUCUAACACCUUCCUAGACUUCUGACCUGUGCUAGCGGCUGUAGUCUUCGGAGGCAUCGCUGAAAACAUAACACGUCGUUAGGAACAUUAAUGCUUAUAUUGCACAAUCUAAGAUAAGAAGAGAGGAUAACAUCCUAUAUGUCAUGUAGCCUCCAGUCUAUAAGUGUGGUGCACAACACACCCAUAAACAAGACUCUACUAGACACGGUCUGGAGACAACCCUAAUACCGAACUACUCUGAUGCCACUUUCAUCACGACCCAAACCUAUGGUCGCGACGGGUGUCUGAGUCCUACCUAUCAAACACCCAUAAGCAUGCAUUUAAGAUAUGAACUUGUAUAACAUCUGUUGAACUACGAAGAUAACAUACAUGAAGGAAACCUGCCAACAAGGCAUAUGUACUUAUACAUGCAAAAUACAGUGGGCGAGUCGGCAAGGCUGCUAUAGACAACUCCAUAUCCAAUAACUGAAAGCUGACAAGGCCACAUACAACACAACUAGACAUUCUUUCUACAGACCUCUAAAAGUAUCAUAACUGUACAAAGACGAGACCGAGCCAUGUCAUACCCAUAUAAUAUAUAUAUAUAUAUAAAUGUAUCGUACCAAAAUCAAAAGCAGCUCCGAAUCAAGUGGAGCACGCCAAUUUUCGCUGAUCAGGGAUCCUAAGAAGGGGGACCGUCAGCUUGCCGACCUGCACCUGCGGGCACGAAAUGUAGACACUAUGAAAUAGGGAGUCAGUACGAAAAUAUGUACUGAGUAUGUAAGGCAUGAAAAUUAGUACGUAAAAGACAUAGAUAAAACAUGGAAUAAAGAAACACAUCUUUAAAUCUUAGUAACUUUAUAAAUUCUGAAACGUUUAUAAUGUCAUGCACGUGCGUAUAAAUGUCAUACCAUGCAUAGGUAUGGGUGUACAUUAUAUCAUCAAGCCACUGAGGUCAUCCCAUCAUAUCGUCUCGACCACUAUGGGCAACAUCAUCAACAUAUACCUGCUGAUCAGGUGGUAGUGCAUAUAUAACGCCGUAACAUUUUUCCAUAUCCCAUAUACAUAUAUUUACAUAUAUACACAUAUAUAACGCCAUCUGGUCAUGGGUCAAUGCACAUGUAUAAAUGAGUGAAAUGCAUGAAAAAUACGUAAUAAUCUCAAUAUUCCUUCCGGAUAAACUUUUUCAACUGCCUAUUAUUCUGAGACCCAUGAACAGAAGAUAAUAAUAAUUCUCAUGGCGAAUCAAAAAUAUAGACACCCCUAGUAUUUCUAUGAACAGAGUAAUUUAUGGAAACUGUGUGUUUGCUCGUUUCUUCUGUAUAAUUCGGACCAUGCCAAAAGAAAGAAGGGAUGGCCUUAACAUGCCUGGAGUAGGAAAAACUCCGUAUAAUAUUCUGUUGGAAACCUUCGUAGAUUGAACUUAGAACCUAAAAAUCGGAUUAAGCUUCUACGCUUUGUAAUUGAGGAACGAAAUCUUGCUUUGAUUUGUUGAAGUUUGGACGAAAUGGUUCAUGUUCACGUUCUUGGUUUCAAACCAAGAAUAGAUUGAAGCUAAAGACACAAAAUGAAAUGAAGUCAAAGACACAAAGUGAAGCUUGUUUUGAAAUGAAAUUUGCUUCUGCUUCAACACUUCUUUUGAGCUAAGGUUAAUACUCUAACCACAUGAUCCAUGUUCUGAUCCUAAAUGAAAUAAGAUUCCUACUAAAGUUACAUUAUACCUUAGGUGGCCACAUAGAUUUAAUGACUUAUGAGUCAUGUUUAGCCAUUGUGUCUUUAUGCCACGUGGGAGGGUGGGUGAAGAUUAUUAAUCUUUACCCACUUAUUAGUUAAUUGUGUAAUGUCCCCUUAUCCGGUAAUUCAUCAAUUACUCGCAUAAUUUAAAAAUUACCACAAAUUACUUAAAAUUCUAUUUAUUUUUAAAAUUCUUCAUAUGUACUUUAUAUAUUAUACUAUCGUGGUCAUAUGGUACCUUGCAUGAUACUAGUUCAUAAUUAUCGGGUAUUAUAGCUCGACCCGUAUUUUACUCCAAAUUGGCCACUUUCAACGAAACUUGUUUUCUUUAAUUUGUGUACCCCUUUAUCAUUCAUAACACUUAUGUAUCACUUGUUAUAAAUGGCGUAACUACGUUAACAUCAAGAUGAUCUCAUCCCCGAGUCUACGUCAGUUAAUUGAAACGAAUUUUAACGUACGAAAAUGCGAGAUGUAAUACUUAGCCCCAUGCAGAGAACAAAUAAGAAUAGGAUACUUCUUAUCUGGAGAUGUAUUCGUGUCUGGUAACCUGAUCGUUAGGACUUUGGUAUGUGUAUGUUUGCGAAUGCUUCUGUUAUGUUCACCAUGACUGCAUCCAAAGAAAAAUUUUAAGUUUUGUAAGGGGAGGUUGGUUCGUGCCUUCGUUUGCUGGCUUUGCUUCGCUCCGUUCUGGAGGCCUUGUUUGAGUUGCCCUGGGUAGCACCUAACUGUCACAAAAAUAGAGUUUUCAAAAAUAUGCAUUUAUUGAUAAAAAUGAAGUUAUUUUUCACAAUGAAAUAUCAAGUAAUUUUGGAUGAACUAGUGAUCGUAACACAUUUCAGAGACAUUGCAGCUCUUCUUAUUUUAGAAUUUUGAGGAGGAUUUUCAAAAUUCUGCCCCAGUUUGGUAAAUGAUCCUUCGGUCGUUUGCGAGUGACGAAACUUGUUGAACCUUCUUCGGAAUUUUGAGAAUCAUUCUCAAAAUUCUAUCCCAGUUUCUUAACCAAUUUCUGACUGUUUGGCAUAUGCUGGCAUCGGCUAGACUUGCUUCGGAAUUUUGAGGGUCCUCAAAAUUCUGCCCCAAUUUUUGGUGCUGGGGAAAAUGUUAAUUUUAUUAAGAAUGUUAAUUUUAUUAAGAUAUGACUGAACCCACAAGACUGCCUACGUAUCCCAUCUUAAACGAGAAUCAGGUCAAGCGUAGUUCAAUUACAUCAGAUGAAGAAAUGUAAAUAGUCUAAAUAUAGUAUCUCUUAACUGAGUCUGAAUUGAUUGGUUUUGGCCAAAUUUCUCCACCCAUUUUUGCAAGUAUGAGUGCUCCUCCAGUUUGCACCCGGUGACCAAUGUAAGAACCUUGCCAGUUGGGAGUGAAUUUCCCUUUGGCUUCAUCUUGAUGCGAGAAGAUCUUCUUCAGUACCAACUGUCCUGGUGCGAAUUGCCUUGGUUUGACUCUUUUAUUGAAAGCUUUGGACAUUCUGUUCUGAUAAUUCUGACCGUGACAUACUGCAUUCAUUCUCUUUUCCUCUAUGAGGGCCAGUUGCUCAUAGCGGCUCCUUAUCCAUUCUACAUUGCUGAGUUCGACUUCCUGUAUGAUUCUUAAAGAAGGAAUCUCUACCUCGGCUGGAAUGACAACUUCGGUACCAUAAACCAGUAAAUAGGGAUUUUCCCAAGUUGAUGUGCGGACCGUAGUGCGGUAUCCCAAUAGGGCAAAGGGUAACUUCUCGUGCCAUUAUUUGUGAUUUUCUACCAUCUUCCUUAGUAUCUUCUUGAUGUUUUUGUUGGCAGCUUCCAUAACUCCAUUCAUUUGAGGCAUGUAUGUUAUAGAGUUUUUAUGCUUGAUUUUAAAGGUUUCGCACAUGGAUUUCAUCAGGUCACUGUUGACAUUGGUGGCAUUAUCAGUGAUAAUGGACUCGAGAACUCCAAAUUGGAAAACAAUACAAUCCUUGACAAAGUCCGCGACAACUUUCUUGGUUACAGCUUUGUAAGAUACGGCCACUACCCAUUUUGUGAAAUAGUCGAUGGCCAUUAAAAUGAACCGGUUCCCGUUUGAAGUGGUGGGCUCGAUCGAACCAAUGACAUCCAUUCCCCAGGCGACAAAAGGUUGUACGUACCGAAUGCAAUGGUCAUCCAAAAGUAUCCAGCUCUGAGUAUUUUCUUGGCUAGGACAAAAUCAUUUAUAUAUGGUCCACAAGUUCCGGCAUGUAUCUCCUCGAGCAAUCUGGAAGCUUCCUUUGCGUCAACACACCUUAAGAACCCCAGAUCAGGAGUUCUUCCAUACAAGGUCCCUCCGUUUUGGAAGAAGUGAUUGGAUAGCCUCCGCAAAGUGCAUUUUUGAAUAUGGUUUGCUUGCUCUAGAUAUUCUCCUCUUGCCAAAUAUUCUUUGAUAUCGUGGAACCAAGGUUUUCCAUCCGUUUCUUCUUCAAGAUGAGCACAGUAAACUGGCCGGUUGUGGAUUCCCACCGUGAUGGGAUCGAUGAAAUUCUUGUCUAGAUGUUGUAUCAUUGAUGACAAAGUAGCCAGUGCGUCUACAAACUCAUUUUAUAUUCUAGGUACAUGUUUGAAUUAUAUAUUUAUGAAUCUUUUCAUCAAUUCCUGCACAUGAUACAAGUAUGGUAGUAUCUUGGUGUUCUUCCUAGCCCACUCUCCUUGAACUUGAUGUACCAGAAUAUCUGAAUCUCCAAUCACCAGUAACUCCUAUAUAUUCAUAUUGAUGGCCAGAUUGAACCCCAUGAUGCAAGCCUCAUAUUCCGCCAUGUUGUUGGUUCAUGGAAACCUAAGCUUCGCAGAUACAGGGUAGUGUUGACCUGUUUCUGAUACCAAAACCGCUCCAACGCCCACUCCUUUGAAGUUUGCAGCUCCAUUGAAGAACAUCCUCCAACCGUCGUAAGAUUUAGUAAUGUCCUUUCCUACGAAUGAUACUUCUUCAUCGUGAAAAUACAUUUUCAAGGGUUUGUAUUCUCCUCCCACAGGAUUUUCAGCAAGAUGGUCUGCUAAUGCUUGUCCUUUGACCGCCUUCUGAGUUACAUAGACGAUGUCGAACUCACUUAACAGUAUCUGCCACUUGGCUAAUUUUUCAGUCGACAUGUGCUUCUGAAAGAUGUACUUCAAAGGGUCCAUACUGGAUAUGAGGUAUAUGGUAUAGGCACAGAAGUAAUUCCUCAAUUUCUGAGUUGUCUAGGUCAAAGCACAACAAGUGCGCUCCAACAGAGAGUAUCAUGCUUCAUAGGGUGUGAACUUCUGACUCAAGUAGUAUAUGGAUUGCUCCUUUCUCCCUAUCUCGCCAUGUUGUCCUAAAACACAUCCGAAAGCUCCAUAUAACACACAUAGAUAGAGUAGCAAAGGUCUCCCAGGUUCUGGAGGGACUAGGACUGGCUGUGUAGAUAGGUAUUCCUUGAUUUUUUCAAAAGCCUACUGACAAUCUUCGGUCCAACUUAUUUCAGCAUCUUUCCUCAAUAUUUUGAAGAUGGGUUCACAUAUAAGUAUGGACUGUGCUAUGAAACGACAGAUAUAGUUGAGACAUCCUAGGAAGCCCAUCACGUUCUUUUUGCUCUUUGGUAGUGGUAACUCCUAGAUAGCCUUAACUUUGGACGGGUCUAACUCGGUUCCUCGGCGGCUGACAAUGAAUCCCAGCAACUUUCCUGCGGGAACCCUGAAUGUACAUUUUGCGGGGUUUAGUUUUAAGUUGUCCUCCUUAACCUGUCAACGAACUUUCUCAAGUCUGCUAUGUGAUAUGCGUCCAUCUUGGAUUUGAUGAUUACGUCGUCAACAUACAUCUCUAUUUCCAUGUGUAUCAUAUCAUGGAGGAUGGUUGUCAUGGCUCUCAUGUAAGUUGCCCCAGCAUUCUUUAGACCGAGUGGAAUCAUCUUGUAGAAGUAUACUCCCCAUGGUGUGAUGAAAGCUAUUUUCUCUACGUCUUCUUCAUCCAUCCAUAUAUGGUGAUAACCAGCAAAGCAAUCUACAAAGGAUUGAAGUUCAUGCUUGGUGCAAGUGUCGAUCAGGAUAUGUAUGUUUGGAAGUGGAAAGUCGUCCUUUGGACUUGCUCUGUUUAAAUCUCGAUAGUCGACACAUACUCUGACUUUCCCAUCUUUCUUUGGAACUGGUACAAUAUUGGCUAACCAGGUUGGGUACUCAACUACUCUAAGUACUUUGGCCUUGAUCUGCUUAAUGACCUCCUCCUUGAUUUUCAUGCUCAUGUUUGGUUUGAAUUUUCUGAGUUUCUGCUUUACUGGCAGACACAUUGGAUUGGUAGGCAACUUGUGAGCCACUAUGGUUGUGCUCAGACCAGUCAUGUCAUCAUAUGACCAUGCAAAGAUAUCCUCAUAUUCCUUCAAAAAAUGAACAUACUCCUCUUUCCCUGGUAGUGAUAAGUGAAUGCUUACGCGAGUUUCCUUGACGGUUUCGACGUCUCCUAAAUUUACUGCUUCGGUUUUGUCCAGGUUAGACUUAAGCUUAUUCUCAAAGUUCUCGACCUCUUGGACAAUUUCCUCAGGUAUUUCAUCUUCUUCCUUCGAGUCACUAUCCUUAUGCUGUGUUGUCUCAUUACAUGUCACCAUCAUCGGUUCAUCAGGAAAAGUAAUAAUAAUGCUGUAGAAAGAAAAAUGUGAAAGAUAAUAAUGAAUAAUAAAUAGCAAUGCAUUAAUUAAAUUUGAAAAUAUCCAAAAUAAGUACGGCUCGACGAAUCGAGCAAUUAUUUUGAAACAAAACAAAAUUAUUGAAAACAUCUAAAAUACCUAGCAUGGCUAUGGAAAUAAUUUAGGCUAAGUGCCAAGCUACCCAGGGACUCGGUGGGCUCGGGAUGGUGACAGCCUAGUUCCUGAGAAUAGCUCAUUUCUCCACAGUCUGAAUGGUGACGCCUUCUUCCUUCUCCUCCUCAAUUAUCGCACCGUAAUACAUAUCCUCGUUCUCUAGGAACAGAUUCCUCAACCCAGCUAAAGCUUUUUCUUCUGUAGUUCCCCAUAUUUUAUCAGCCUGGUGAAAAGUCUGACCCAGAUGUGGCAUUGGUUGCUCGAGAAGGUAAUAAGGUCCUUGCCAUGGAGGUAACCAAUCAUCAUACUCUUGCCAUGUAUACUAGUAUCUGAGCCCGAAGGUUGUACCAUGACAUUUUAGCUGUGUUGGUUUGAUAAUGCCCUAGAGAUUCUUCCUAAGCCCUUUGCCUGGUUCAUACCCAGACCAUGUCAGUAUGCUUUAUAUUUUGUUACGCCACUAUUUGUCUUUCUCAACUGCAUUGACUUGUUCGAUAUGGUGAUAAGUUUCUCCUCCUAGCCUUCUUCUAUUCCCGAUAACCGGGAUGGUUUGACGGGUGUAAAUAGGGUUACUUUCAUCUCCGUGAAUGAUCCUUCCUAAUAAUUCCAUUCAAACUUCACGGCCUGGAGGAGUGUGGAAGCCAUAGCCCCAGCGGCAUGUAUCCAAGGUCGACCCAACAGAAGAGUGUAUGUAGCUGAUAUGUCAAGCACUUGGAAUUCAACAUCAAACUAAGUUGGCCUCAUUUGCAGGCAAAGAUUAAUCUCCCCAAUUUUAGCCCUUUGAGACCCAUCAAAGGCUUUCACGUUCAUACUUCCUGCCCGUAUUUCAUGGAAACCUUUGCCCAAUCUUUUCAGAGUGUUCAACGAAUAAAUAUUGAGGCUUGAACCUCCAUCGAUCAGGACUUUAGCAAUGAAUUUGUCUUCAAAUUGUACCGUGAUAUGCAGUGCCCGGUUAUGAUUCAACCUUUCAGGCAGUAAUUCAUCCUCGUGGAAGGUGAUCUUAUGGCUUUCCAGCACUUGCCCCACCAUGUUGGCCAUUUCUCCGCAGGUGAUAUUGUUGGGAACAUAAGCAUCAUUUAACACCUUCAUCAAAGCAUUCUUGUGUGCCUCUGAAUUUUGCAAGAGUGAUAGGAUGGAUAUCUGAGUAGGGGUUUUGUUCAAAUGAUCAAUGACGGAGUAUUCUCUCGCUUGUUCUUUCCUCCAAAGAUCAUCCGAUCCCAUUUCAAUGAUAGGUUGCUUAGUAGCAGCCUCUUUGCUUGAUCCUCCCAAGUGUUCCGGUGUAUAGAUCCUUCCCAUUCUGAUCAUUCCUUGUGUGGCAUCAGAUUCUUCCAUCUUUGCCUUUCCCUUUCGCCAAACUUCGACAACGUAAUCCCAAGGUAUGGCUUUGGAAUUAAAAGGAGGUGUGGUUGAUGUCACACCUUCUUUUUACCUACACCCCCGGAAGGGAGUAUAAGGGAGUUUUUUCCAACUUAAAGUGACAAUCGAAACGGGAUUAUUUUAUUAAAAAUUCAGAGUCUCCACUUGGGAUAAUUUAUGUUGUCCCAAGUCACUGGUUUAAAAUCCCAAAUUGAGGAAAGAUUGACUUUGUAUUACAGUCCGCGAACCAAAAAUCCGAGUAAGGAAUUCUGUUAACCCGGGAGAAGGUGUUAGGCAUUCCCGAGUUUCGUGGUUCUAGCACGGUCGCUCAACUGUUAUAUUCAGCUUAAUUAUCUGAUUUUAAUACAUGUUUUAACCUAUGGUGCAAUUUUAACUUUCAAACCGCUUUUAUUUAAUUUUUAAAGAAGACUAAACGUCGUUUAAAACACGUCUUUGGAUCGCGCAACAUGAAAUGCACCCGCAAUCCUAAACAUAUUUUAUUCAACAUUUUAAGAUUUAAUUUGGGUCACAUGAAAUGCACACCCGAGUUUAGGAAGGUAAUAUUAUUAAAAUACGCGCCCAAAGCAACUAACGCAUUUGCAGCUAUGCGAGGGCCGUGGAGAUUCAACUAAAUGGAACGCCUCGAAUUGUAAGGAUAAACAAGAUUAAUUAAAUGAGGGUCAUACAUACUUCUAGCGAUUAAAGUGAUAAAACAAAGUAGAACUAAAUAAAACAUGUUGAACCGAGUUUUACUUUUAAUUAAUAUUCAACAACCCAUGACUCCUUAUUAUUAUGUUUCAAGAUCGGAUCGCCCAUGGCCAAACAACCAUUUAAGAUACAUAACGAUCAACCAAGAUCAAUCAUUCAACAUGUAAAAGCAUUUAAAAUAAGCUAUGAGCUACACUAAAAAUGGUACGACAAAAUGAGUGGUCUUAAACAUGAGAACAAUCUUUGAACUUUGAUUAACACCAUCCAUGGUAAAAAUCUGAUUCCAAUUUAAAUAUCAUUGGCCACCACCCACUUAAACAAUUGGCAAUACCCUAUACCCUUUUUAACAAAAACUAAAGUUUCAUUCCAUUCCAGCAUAGGAUCCAUGGUCUAAUAUUUCAGCGAGAAUGCAAAACCAGAUGAUUAAAACCAACAAAAAACUAUGAUGAACUAUAAAUUUCGGUUAAGUCACAACUAGAAAAUAUCACGAUAAUCAUGAUAAAAAUUAUCAACAUAUGAGAAAUAAUAAAGAUAUCAGAAUGGACCUUUAUAACUGCAAUGUGUUUUUGAAACAACGGGUAGAAAAAUAAAACUCCAAGCCAAAGCUGUGAUUGAUGAGCUCAAUAGUCCGGACCUCGACGACCUUGAGCGGAAACUCGAACUCUAACCUCGAGUAGCAGCAGGGCUCGAAUCAGAAUCGACGUCGAACAAUCUCGAUCGGCGACGAGCUCGAAAACAGACAAAAGGGGUUCAAGGGGUCUUCAGCUGGAUUUUAUGGUGAGGAAGAUGACUGGAGUUCAGCCGGAUCUAGGUGGUCGUUGAUGGCUGUAGUUUUGUUUCAUCGAAGAAGAAGAAACAGCCAUGGGGAGUUCUAUCAUUUUGGCUGAGGAAGGAGAUCAAAUUCGCUGAGGGAGGGUCUUGUAUGAAAAUCAGCGCCUAGCUUAGGUCCUCGUGAAGAAGACGAAGACGAGGGGGUGGGGUCGACGGCGAGUCUUCUCCGGCAAGCUUAAAGUGGCCUGUUGCGAUAAUCGGUCUUGAAGAAGAAGCAGAUGAGCAGUGGCUCUCUUCUCUCUCGUUCAAGAAGAAGAAGCUCGAUGGGGGAGGGAUCUAUAUUUUUUGGUUCUUAAUCCUCCUGCUAUGCGCAGUUUUUUGCCCCUUUUCUUUUUGGUAGAU
rnacentral:lncRNA from 1 species